UUUGGGGCGAUUGUCGGACUAGUCGCUUCUUGAAAUCAGCCCAAGUGACUAGACCGAACACUCGCGUCCUAAAACU
rnacentral:pre_miRNA from 14 species